GCUGAUAAAUUGUCUAUGGCCGUGAACAAGCCCGAUUCCGUCUGAUCUCGGAAGCUAAGCAGGGUCGGGCCUGGUUAGUACUUGGAUGGGAGACCACCUAGGAAGACUAGGUGCUAUUAGCG
rnacentral:rRNA from 1 species